AUUCCAUACCGAUUUAAAGUCCGCGAUAGGUUCUCGGCUUAUACGACCUGUAUGGUUGGAACCGAGCAUCUCUCCAAGGACAAUUUUUAAGCCUCCUGGAAGUGCUGACCCAAAAUUUUGGGUUUCUUUUAUAGCGCUAUUACGAGAGUCAUCUCUACGAGAUGACUAAGUCUGUUUAGGACGUUAAGAGUUUGUUGUGAUCAGCAACAAACUUAAUGGUAAAAAUUACUGUUUCGAGUCUUCGCGAAGGAUAUGUUUUGAGAAGAUGUUAGUGCGUAUGACUGUCUGGUCUUCCAAGAAAGUGUUUUUAUCGAGGAAGGAAAUUUCAUCGAAGAACGAAUAUUCAGGCGUCU
rnacentral:lncRNA from 1 species